rnacentral:rRNA from 1 species
UGCAGUCGAGCGAUGAAACUACUUCGGUAGUGAAUUAGCGGCGAACGGGUGAGGAACACGUGAGGAAUCUGCCUUCAACACUGGGAUAACUCCGGGAAACCGGGGCUAAUACCGGAUACGAGCCUUGAUCGCAUGAUCGAGGCUGGAAAGUUUUUCGGUUGAAGAUGACCUCGCGGCCUAUCAGCUUGUUGGUGAGGUAAUGGCUCACCAAGGCGACGACGGGUAGCCGGCCUGAGAGGGCGACCGGCCACACUGGGACUGAGACACGGCCCAGACUCCUACGGGAGGCAGCAGUGGGGAAUAUUGGGCAAUGGAGGAAACUCUGACCCAGCGACGCCGCGUGCGGGAUGAAGGCCUUCGGGUUGUAAACCGCUUUCAGUAGGGAAGAAGCGAAAGUGACGGUACCUACAGAAGAAGCACCGGCUAACUAUGUGCCAGCAGCCGCGGUAAUACAUAGGGUGCAAGCGUUGUCCGGAAUUAUUGGGCGUAAAGAGCUCGUAGGUGGUUUGAUACGUCGGGUGUGAAAUUCAGGGGCUCAACCCCUGACCUGCAUUCGAUACGGUCAAGCUAGAGUUUGGUAGGGGAGACUGGAAUUCCUGGUGUAGCGGUGGAAUGCGCAGAUAUCAGGAGGAACACCGAUGGCGAAGGCAGGUCUCUGGGCCAAUACUGACACUGAGGAGCGAAAGCGUGGGGAGCGAACAGGAUUAGAUACCCUGGUAGUCCACGCCGUAAACGGUGGGCGCUAGUUGUGCGAACCUUCCACGGUUUGUGCGACGCAGCUAACGCAUUAAGCGCCCCGCCUGGGGAGUACGAUCGCAAGAUUAAAACUCAAAGGAAUUGANGGGCCCCGCACAAGCAGCGGANCAUGCGGCUUA